rnacentral:rRNA from 1 species
CCUACGGGUGGCAGCAGUGAGGAAUAUUGGUCAAUGGACGAGAGUCUGAACCAGCCAAGUAGCGUGAAGGAUGACUGCCCUAUGGGUUGUAAACUUCUUUUAUAUGGGAAUAAAAUGUUCCACGUGUGGGAUUUUGUAUGUACCAUAUGAAUAAGGAUCGGCUAACUCCGUGCCAGCAGCCGCGGUAAUACGGAGGAUCCGAGCGUUAUCCGGAUUGAUUGGGCGUAAAGGGAGCGUAGGUGGUUUGGUAAGUCAGUUGUGAAAGUUCGGGGCUCAACCGUAAAAUUGCAGUUGAAACUGGCAGACUGGAGUACGGGAGAGGUGAGCGGAAUUCGUGGUGUAGCAGUGAAAUGCGUAGAUAUCGCGAGGAACACCGGUGGCGAAGGCGGUUCACUGGACUGCAACUGACGCUGAGGCUCGAAAGUGUGGGUAGCAAACAGGAUUAGAUACCCCAGUAGUC